AGCGGAGAGGCGAGGAAACAUAGCUGUCCGUGACGGGCCCCGGAGUCACUUUGCGGGACCAGACCUUGCUGCCCAGAUACCCAAACGCCUACUCACUUGACAACCGGUCCAAAAGUAUUUAGGAAACAGUACUGCUUCGGAGACGGAGGUGGGAGGAGCACGAGUCGGAGGACAGCCUGGGUGGCACGAGACCCUGUCUCAAAAGGAGAAAAAACACGUGGAGUGAAUUGUAUAUGCGGUGCUUUGUAUGAGCACUCGCGGCUUGCUGGACGCUCAUGCAAGUGUGGCAUCCGUGCACCAUCAGGACCAGGAGUCAGCAGAGGCCCUUUCCUGCCCGCCACUGAAACCAUCCCCAAGGUUGCCGUGGUUGUCCUACUGCUGGCCCACAUCAGUGUCCUUGCCAGUGUGGCACGCCUCUCACCCGGGCUGUCCCCUGCCGGGCCUCACCUAGAAGAGCUGCUGUUUGCUCCCUGCUUGUCUUGCGCAUCCUGCCUCCCUUCCGCGGAGGCCUCCCUCAUCUCCACUGCCAGUGGGAAUUGGAGGGAGGUCUUGGUCAGUGGUGUGCCACUGCACUCUGCAACCUCCGGCUCACUGAGCAGCCACUCGUCCUGUGUGGGACUGAUCAGGCAGGGAUAAUUUUUCCCAUCCUGUGUGUGCAGUGCUCCGCAGAGUGCCUGGCACCAUCUACUGACAGUAGGUGAUGUCACCGGUAACAGUCGAUGCCCGUUCUCUGGGUCUUUCUACGGUACAAGUUCAGGUCCGGCAGGGCAUCCAUUUGCAUCCUUUUUUUUCCUACUUAUAUGCUGAUUUAUUUUUUUAAGGCAAGAAAAGGUAAUUUAUUAACUGAAUUACAGAUUUAACUCCACAAAAGUUAAUAGGUUGGCAUGUGCAAAAAUAAAUAGCCCAAAUAUCAUCACGUGUUUUAGUGUAUCUGGAGAAACAAAGCACAAGGCUAACAUGAUUUUCUAGAAAUAAAAAAUUCUCAUCUUCAUUCCUCCUGUCACAGGGAAUCAGAGAACAGGAAGAAGCUGUUGUGGGGUAGCAGAGAGCCAGAGCUGAAAGUCUCUGUAGCCAUUAAUAGCAAAUUCUUAUCUUGCCAAAAAUAAUUGAUUCAUGCAGUGGGAUUAUUGAAAAUCACCUUUUAAUUGCUUUACUAGAAUUAAAAACAAAUUUUGCAAAGUAUAUAUGUAUGUCAAGCUUCCACUGGAAAAUCUGGUAAAUACAGGAUUUGUAUUGUCUUAUUUUACAUUAUACAGAUGUUUAAAUAAAAUGGUUUGUGGUAUUUUAAAAGACAGCAACAGUCAGAGUUUUAUUUAAGUCUUUAUUCUAUUUUGAGUGUUUUUUUUCUCUCCUGUUCACUGGUGUCAUUUGUUCAACACUUGAUUCCUUGAACUAAUUAGGGGAACCAAAAAACUGGUAGUUUAAUGAAAAAACUGUAUAUUGACUUAUACCAUUAAAUUGCAUGUUUAUUGCUUUCAA